rnacentral:lncRNA from 1 species
GAAAGUAACUGUGAGAUAAUCUGCUUCACUCUAGUCGUCAUUUAACUUUUGAUGAUAUUCUAUGACAUUAUGUUCUAAACAUCAAGCAUACACAAUAAAGUUUAUUUAUUUUUCUUUUAAAUAGGAAGAUACAGCUUGAGGAGCCAGAUGCAGCGGCUCACUCCUGUAAUCCCAGCGUUUUGGGAGGCCGAGGAAAUUGCUCAGCAUCUCUGUUCCGGGGGAUACCAGCGUUCAGCCUUUCCUCAAGAAUGUGACCAUCGCAAUUUAUUCCACCCAUGUCUGCUUACACCAACAAUCGAUGUUGUCAAUGACAUCAGACAGCUAGUCCCAGACAGUUUCUGCUGUCUGAAUCCUCUUACUUGUGUCUAUUAUUCUUUCCUGUCUUAUCAUUAAUAACAGGAUUGAUUAUUUAUUCCUUAAUAUGUUUUUAGUUGCAAGACACAGAAGCCCUACUCAGAGAAACUUAAAAAAAAUGUUAUGGGCCUGAAGAUUAAAGCCUUUCUUCUCUCUGUUUGUCUUCUUUGAUGUGGACUUAUUAUGGUGUGUUUUUUUCCAUAUUGCCCUGAGAAGCCCCCUAUGUACAUUGUAUCAGCUAAGAACUGGAGCAGAAAGGAUCAUCUUUCCUUUUUUAAUGUUUUAAAAAAAAAAAACUUGUAUGAGUACAUAGUAGGUAUAUAUAUUUAUGGGGUACAUGAGAUAUUUGGAUACAGGUAUACAAUUUGUAUUAAUCCUGUCAGGGUAAAGGGGGCAUCCAUCACCUCAAGCAUUUAGCAUUUCUUUGAGUUAUGAAUGUUCCAAUUAUACUCUUUUAGUCAUUUAAAAAUGUACAAUAAGUUAUUAGUCACUGUAGUCACCUGUUGUGCAUUCAAACACUAGAACUUAUUUAUUCUAACUCUAUGUUUGUACCCAUUAACCAUCCCCUUCAUAGUUCAAGUGAAGAUACAGGCAUGCCUCUUGGUUCAGGAUGCCCACAUGACCUAUGUGUGGUCAACCUCUGUGUCCAGCUUCUGAGACGGACGCUCCCUGGGAGACCUGGAAGGAUGUGAUCAAACACAUGCAAACUACAGGGGCUGAAAGUGAGAAAAGGUGGUUUUCAGAGGAAAAUCUUCAGUGUUAACAGACAAAGAGGGAGUGAUGGAUGAACAGGCAAAACCAGCAGCUGUCCGGUGUACUGUGACUUAUAACUUUUACCCGGGCUGAUAAAUAAAUAAUGGCUGGAGUCAUUAUGAGUGACAGCAUUCUUGUUCUGCAGACACUAUAAAUCUGGACAAAAUAAGCAAUUCUCUGCUGAGAUGAUAGAAUAAUCUAUCUUCCCUCACUUCGCCAACACAGUGAGAAUAGUGGACUCUGAAUUCUUGAUUUUUCUGGCUGCAUCGUGAAGAGUAUUUCCCGAAACCAUCAAUGAGGAUGUACAGAAACAGUAGGAAAAUGUGGGCUAGGGAAAUCAACGUAGGAUGGGCCUCUUCAUCCCAGAUAUGAUCAGUGUUCCUGCUGUGAGAAGUGUCUUCUUCACUAACCUUUUAAAAUACGUUCUUCUUAAUAUUAUAGAUGAUUGAAAUUUUAAUGUUUUUUAUUAUUUAACUCACAAAAAAUGUGAAUAUAAUCUCUGGAGGAGAGGGAAUUGGCCAAAUAUUAUACUAAGAAGUGUGGCUAAUUUAUUCUGUAACUUGGCCAUGAACAAUAUAUGGGAAUAAAUGAAUAACUCAAAUAGAAGACUUUCUUUUGGUCUGGGAAAACAGAAGGAAUUUGAGUAUUAAUCUUUGGUCUGCUGCAUCAUGAACUAUUUUUGAUACAUGAGAAUGAUGGAAAAAUUGAGAGUUCUGUUGACUUUACCCCCAGUUCCUAUAAAAAAUACAAUUACACCCCAAAAGGUAUUUAAGAAAAUAUUUGUUGUCUCAUUGCCAGAUUAACAAUUAAAUGUUCCUAUCUGUUCGUAACGUCAAAGAGAAGAUGAAUGGAAGCAAUAGUGUUGUCAGCCACAGCAGAAUCUGUAUCAACUGCGUAUUAGGAGAGUAGCUGCAUUUCACCAAUACCCCAGCCAUGCCACUUUUUUUUUUUUUGAUAUGGAGUCUCACUCUGUCACCUAGGCUGGAGUGCAGUGGUGCUGUCUUGGCUCAUUGCAACCUCCGGCUCCCAGAUUCAAGAGCUUCUCUUGCCUCAACCUUUCGAGUAGCUGGGAUUACAGGUGCGCACCACCACACCAGAUAAUUUUUUGUAUUUUAGUAGAGAUGGGAUUUCGCCAUAUUGGCCAGGCUGGUCUCAAAAUCCUGACCUCAAGUCAUCCGCCCACCUCUGCCUCCCAAAGCACUGGGAUUAUAGGCCUGAGCCACUGUGCCCUGCUCCAUGCCCCGUUUUUACCCUCACUCUAUGUAUGCCACUGCACUUUUGGCUUCUCAUAGGCCUAAGAGUCUGCUUGAUUAUGGUCAAGGGAGAGGGAUAGGCUCUAGGAGAUUAACUUGUAUGACUAGAUGGCAGUAGUUUUGUCAGCAAACACAGAUAAAUGUUAUCUAGAAAGAUUAUCUUCUCUUCCCUACACACCUUAACAAAAGUCAUUUUUAACUAUGCUUUGUAUACAAGGGUCCCUGACAUGAAAACUCCAGGUUAUUUAACAAGAGGUUACCAAGGUUCACUUGGCUUGAUCACUGCAAAGGGCAAAUGUAAAAACUUGUUAGAGCGAUGAGGUGCUUAUGUUUCACCUCUUCAGACAACUUCUUGGACAGGCAUCAAGAAUGAUCUCAAGCCACCUAGGACCAUCAAAGAAUAAUUU